AAAAUCCAGCCUGAGGAAAGGUUAGCCGCCACCUUUGAACUGAACCCCACACCCAAUCUGGUAACAGGUUGUUGUGAAGCUGGGGGGAAGGGAUACCAGGCCGCAAUAAUAAUAAAAAAAAAGAAGAGAAAUGGAAGUGAAGGUUAUAAGCCCCGAAAUUUUGCUGAUCUUGGAAGCUGAUGUUAUUUGCGUAACAGAAGGCAGCAAUCACACCACCGAUAUUAAGCAUCUCCAGUCUUGGAAUAUAGCAGAGAGCUAUGCGACACGGCAAGGUGUUGUGAAUCCAACGGGGUCUAAGACCG
rfam:Candidatus Methanoperedens nitroreducens strain ANME-2d ANME2D_Contig_2.2, whole genome shotgun sequence.